GUCCAGGUGAAAGUUGGUCCUGGCUUUAGCCAGAAAAAAAAAUUCUUCUACGUUAAAUAUAAGGAUUGGAACAGAUCAAUGAAGAAAUUACAAUAGACAAAAUAAAUACAUUCGAUCACCUAAGAUUACUAACCUUAAAAUUUCUAAUCCUACGAAACCCAGGAAUUUAAGUUUG
rnacentral:antisense_RNA from 1 species